UGGGGAAUAUUGCGCAAUGGGGGAAACCCUGACGCAGCAACGCCGCGUGAAGGAUGAAGGUUUUCGGAUUGUAAACUUCUUUUAAGAGGGACGAAAUUUGACGGUACCUCUUGAAUAAGCUCCGGCUAACUACGUGCCAGCAGCCGCGGUAAUACGUAGGGAGCAAGCGUUGUCCGGAUUUACUGGGUGUAAAGGGCGAGUAGGCGGGAAGACAAGUCAGAUGUGAAAACUAUGGGCUUAACCCAUAGCCUGCAUUUGAAACUGUUUUUCUUGAGUGAUGGAGAGGCAGGCGGAAUUCCUAGUGUAGCGGUGAAAUGCGUAGAUAUUAGGAGGAACACCAGUGGCGAAGGCGGCCUGCUGGACAUUAACUGACGCUGAGGCGCGAAAGCGUGGGGAGCAAACAGG
rnacentral:rRNA from 1 species